rnacentral:rRNA from 1 species
GAACCGUGCGAACGUUGUUCGGAUUCACUGGGCUUAAAGGGCGCGUAGGCGGGCUGCCAAGUCAAGGGUGAAAUCUUUCGGCUCAACCGGAAAAGUGCCCCUGAUACUGGCGGUCUCGAGGGAGGUAGGGGCAUGUGGAACUUCCGGUGGAGCGGUGAAAUGCGUAGAUAUCGGAAGGAACGCCGGUGGCGAAAGCGACGUGCUGGACCUCUUCUGACGCUGAGGCGCGAAAGCUAGGGGAGAGAACGGGAUUAGAUACCCCGGUAUUCCUAGCCCUAAACGAUGGGUACUAGGUUGUGGACUUGACAUGGGUUCACAGCCGAAGCAAAAGUGUUAAGUACCCCGCCUGGGGAGUAUGGUCGCAAGGCUGAA